rnacentral:rRNA from 1 species
GACGAACGCUGGCGGCGUGCUUAACACAUGCAAGUCGAACGAUGAAGCCGGAGCUUGCUCUGGUGAAUUAGUGGCGAACGGGUGAGUAACACGUGAGUAACCUGCCCUUGACUCUGGGAUAACUGCUAGAAAUGGUAGCUAAUACCGGAUACGACCCUCGGAGGCAUCUCUAGGGGGUGGAAGGAAUUUCGGUCAAGGAUGGACUCGCGGCCUAUCAGCUAGUUGGUGAGGUAACGGCUCACCAAGGCGACGACGGGUAGCCGGCCUGAGAGGGUGACCGGCCACACUGGGACUGAGACACGGCCCAGACUCCUACGGGAGGCAGCAGUGGGGAAUAUUGCACAAUGGGCGCAAGCCUGAUGCAGCAACGCCGCGUGAGGGAUGACGGCCUUCGGGUUGUAAACCUCUUUUAGUAGGGAAGAAGCGAAAGUGACGGUACCUGCAGAAAAAGCACCGGCUAACUACGUGCCAGCCGCCGCAGUAA